rnacentral:rRNA from 1 species
GGGGAACGACGGGGACGGGGCGGCGGGAAUACGUAGGGGGCGAGCGGUGUCCGGAAGUGUGGGUCGUGAGGAGCUCGUAGGGGGCCUGUCGCGGAGGAUGUGAAAGCCCGGGGCGUAACCGCGGGUCUGCAGUCGAUACGGGCAGGCUAGAGGGUGGUAGGGGAGAUCGGAAUUCCGGGUGUAGCGGUGAAAGGCGCAGAUAUCAGGAGGAACACCGGUGGCGAAGGCGGAUCUCUGGGCCAUUACUGACGCUGAGGAGCGAAAGCGUGGGAGCGAACAGGAUUAGAUACCCUAGUAGUC